rnacentral:siRNA from 1 species
AUCUUGAUGAUGCUGCAG